rnacentral:misc_RNA from 1 species
CCGAGCGAGGGCCUCCGGGCCCGACCUCCAACCCUUUGUGAACACACCCGUUGCUUCGGGGGCGACCCUGCCGUUUCGACGGCGAGCGCCCCCGGAGGUCUUCCAACACUGCAUCUUUGCGUCGGGGUUUAAGGAAAUGAGACA